GGGGCGCAGCAGCGCGAAACUUUACCCUGCACGAGAGUGCGAUAAGGGGACUCCAAGUGCGAGGGCAUACAGUCCUCGCUUUUUCUGAACCGUAAGGUGGUUCAGGAACAAGUGCUGGGCAAGACCCGGUGCCAGCCGCCGCGGUAAUACCGGCAGCACAAGUGAUGGCCAAUCUUAUUGGGCCUAAAGCGUCCGUAGCCGGCCGAGCGGGUCCGUCGGGAAAUCCGCGUGCUCAACGCGCGGGCGUCCGGCGGAAACCACUCGGCUUGGGGCCGGAAGACUCGAGGGGUACGUCUGGGGUAGGAGUGAAAUCCCGUAAUCCUGGACGGACCGCCGAUGGCGAAAGCACCUCGAGAAGACGGACCCGACGGUGAGGGACGAAAGCCAGGGUCUCGAACCGGAUUAGAUACCCGGGUAGUCCUGGCCGUAAACGAUGUUCGCUAGGUGUGGCGUCGACUACGAGUCGGCGCUGUGCCGCAGGGAAGCCGCUAAGCGAACCGCCUGGGAAGUACGUCCGCAAGGAUGAAACUUAAAGGAAUUGGCGGGGGAGCACUACAACCGGAGGAGCCUGCGGUUUAAUUGGACUCAACGCCGGAAAUCUUACCAGCUCCGACAGUAGCAAUGACGCUCAGUGUGAUGAGCUUGGUUGAGCUACUGAGAGGAGGUGCAUGGCCGCCGUCAGCUCGUACCGUGAGGCGUCCUGUUAAGUCAGGCAACGAGCGAGACCCGCACUCUUAAUUGCCAGCGACACCGCGAGGUGGUCGGGUACAUUAGGAGGACUGCCGUCGCCAAGACGGAGGAAGGAACGGGCAACGGUAGGUCAGUAUGCCCCGAAUGAGCUGGGCUACACGCGGGCUACAAUGGUCGAGACAAUGGGUUCCAACCUCGAGAGAGGGCGGUAAUCUCCUAAACUCGGUCGUAGUUCGGAUUGAGGGUUGAAACUCACCCUCAUGAAGCUGGAUUCGGUAGUAAUCGCGUGUCACCAGCGCGCGGUGAAUACGUCCCUGCUCCUUGCACACACCGCCCGUCAAAGCACCCGAGUGGGGUCCGGAUGAGGCCGCCGAGAGGCGGUCGAAUC
rnacentral:rRNA from 1 species